GCCUCCUCUGGCCGCCGGCCCGUCGGCCCUGCAAAGUUUAAAGCCAAUUCCCUUUGCGUCCUGGGAGCCGAGCGUUUUCUCUCUCUGCUGACACUCCCAGCAGCCCUGCCUGGCCAGGCCAGGCUGGAGAGCACCCGGACCAUUUUCCAGACGGUGAGAUGGAGGCCUGGAAAUCGAGCUUAUGAGCAGCCCGGAGCUUUCCAUUGCCUGCUCAGCCUUCCAGAUACAUCCCAGUUCCAGUUCUCUCCAGGCCCCUCUGGGAUCCAGCCAGCCUGCUUCCCCGCCAGGGCCCCGCUGCUUGCAAAAUGGGCCUGUGCAGCGUCAUUCAGGAAGCCCGUGGUACUCACAUCACUUUGGCCAGAUGCUAACAAGAAAAUGAUCCACUGUGACGCAGCUGACCCCAUCCAGUGCAUCCACAUUACCUGGAAAGAAGCAAUUAUGCCCCUUUGGUUUCCUUGGAAAUGCUCGGUCUGUCUGUACCAUCCUCCCUGGCUCUUGAGAAAUACCCAUGCACAGCAGAGCUUUGACAGGGAAACAGUGCGUUUAUUUUCAAACUGAAAGUUUACAGAAUACAAAGUGAGCCUAUAAGAUGGAUGGCCAUUCUCCAGAGGCUUGUUGGCCAGACAGGAAGGAAAACCAGUGCACCAUCAGGAACGUGGAGGAGACUGAAAGAGAGGGACAAACAUAUUGGAUUGGAUCGGGCCUCCACAGUCAAGUUCCUGCAAACCCAGCUGGGAUAUUUUCCUGACUAAGGGUUAUGGUCUUGGGCCUCAAAGUCCAUAAAGAACAGGCUGCAUCAGCACAGCGACACACAUCUACGGGUUUUUCUAAGACUUUUGUGUUUGGGGACCCCACAAGUCCAUGUGCCCUUUGGAAUCAGCAGGUUUAUUUGGAGUCAGACGUAUCAGAGCUCUCUCCUAUCUCCCCAGUCAAAGCCCAGCCUCUGUGCCAGGGAGGACACAAGAGGACAGACACAGCCUCUGUGUCAGGAGGAGGGAAGAAGGACUAAUGUCUGAAGACCCUCCGAGGCUCACAGGGAGAAGCCACACACUCACAGCACCAGGUAUAUUAUCUCUGUUCUCCCACUUGACUUUAAGCUCAAUGAAUGCCAGGACCCUUAAAACAAAGCACAUAGCAAGUUUUCAGUGAAGUCUUGUUAAUUUUCAAAUGAAGGAAUAAAUGAACGGCUAUAUUUCCACUUCGCAGAUGAGUAAACAGAAGCUCGGAGGGGUGAUGAAAUUUGCCAACAGUCACCGAUCAGUAAGUAUGACAGAAGUAGGACUGGAACCCAGGGCUGUCUGACCUCUGGCUUGAGUCUAUAACCACUUGGCCAUACUGCCUUUCAGUCCCAGGAACAGGUGAUGCUUCCUGGCAGUGAGAUUCUAAACCAGCGGGAGUUCCCAGCCAGAGACAUGAUCUAAGUGCCAAUGGCUGAAUGUCUGUGAGCAUUUGAAGUCAUUGUAAGAACAGGCAACGUUAGCGGCACCAUUAAAGCCUGCUGUUCCUCCAGCCCAUCACUGCCAUCCCCACCUAUUAAAAUAAUGGUAUGAAAAAUAAACAGCCUUUAUGGACAAUUUUAUACAGUGCACGCAUUGUUUGUUUCUCUUACUGUUUCCAUGGCAGUGACGUUUGUUCUCAGGAUAACUUCAGGUUUCUGCAUGAUGGAAGGGAAUGGAAUAAAAUAACUUGAGAGGAAAUUGCCAAGCACAGACUUUUUCUUCUUCAGAUGCCC
rnacentral:lncRNA from 10 species